rnacentral:rRNA from 1 species
CAGCACCUCAAGUGGUCAGGAUGAUUAUUGGGCCUAAAGCAUCCGUAGCCGGCGCUGUAAGUUUUCGGUUAAAUCUGUACGCUCAACGUACAGGCUGCCGGGAAUACUGCAGCGCUAGGGAGUGGGAGAGGUAGACGGUACUCGGUAGGAAGGGGUAAAAUCCUUUGAUCUAUUGAUGACCACCUGUGGCGAAGGCGGUCUACCAGAACACGUCCGACGGUGAGGGAUGAAAGCUGGGGGAGCAAACCGGAUUAGAUACCCGCGUAGUCC